ACAUCCAGAGAAUUUAGCAGAGAUGCUUUAGUGCCUUCGGGAACUCUGAGACAGGUGCUGCAUGGCUGUCGUCAGCUCGUGUUGUGAAAUGUUGGGUUAAGUCCCGNAACGAGCGCAACCCUUAUCCUUUGUUGCCAGCACGUAAUGGUGGGAACUCAAAGGAGACUGCCGGUGAUAAACCGGAGGAAGGUGGGGAUGACGUCAAGUCGGAUCAUGGCCCUUACGAGUAGGGCUACACACGUGCUACAAUGGCGCAUACAAAGAGAAGCGACCUCGCGAGAGCAAGCGGACCUCAUAAAGUGCGUCGUAGUCCGGAUUGGAGUCUGCAACUCGACUCCAUGAAGUCGGAAUCGCUAGUAAUCGUAAAUCAGAAUGUUACGGUGAAUACGUUCCCGGGCCUUGUACACACCGCCCGUCACACCAUGGGAGUGGGUUGCAAAAGAAGUAGAUAGCUUAACCUUCGGGAGGGCGUUUACCACUUUGUGAUUCAUGACUGGGGUGAAGUCGUAACAAGGUAGGCGUAGUGCU
rnacentral:rRNA from 1 species